AUUGAACGCUGGCGGCAUGCCUUACACAUGCAAGUCGAACGGUAACAGGUUAAGCUGACGAGUGGCGAACGGGUGAGUAAUGUAUCGGAACGUGCCCAGUCGUGGGGGAUAACUGCCCGAAAGAGCAGCUAAUACCGCAUACGACCUGAGGGUGAAAGCGGGGGCUCGCAAGACCUCGCGCGAUUGGAGCGGCCGAGAUCAGAUUAGGUAGUUGGGGGGGUAAAGGCCCACCAAGCCAACGGUCUGUAGCUGGUCUGAGAGGACGCCCAGCCACACUGGGACUGAGACACGGCCCAGACUCCUACGGGAGGCAGCAGUGGGGAAUUUUGGACAAUGGGCGCAAGCCUGAUCCAGCCAUGCCGCGUGCGGGAAGAAGGCCUUCGGGUUGUAAACCGCUUUUGUCAGGGAAGAAACGGCUUUCUCUAAUACAGAGAGCUAAUGACGGUACCUGAAGAAUAAGCACCGGCUAACUACGUGCCAGCAGCCGCAGUAAAAC
rnacentral:rRNA from 1 species